AUUGAACGCUGGCGGCAGGCCUAACACAUGCAAGUCGAACGAGUGGCGGACGGGUGAGUAAUGUCGGGGAAACUGCCUGAUGGAGGGGGAUAACUACUGGAAACGGUAGCUAAUACCGCAUACCAUCGGAUGUGCCCAGAUGGGAUUAGCUAGUAGGUGGGGUAAUGUCUCACCUAGGCGACGCUCCCUAGCUGGUCUGAGAGGAUGACAAGCCACACUGGAACUGAGACACGGUCCAGACUCCUACGGGAGGCAGCAGUGGGGAAUAGUGCACUAUGGGCGCAAGCCUGAUGCAGCCAUGCCGCGUGUGUGAAGAAGGCCUUCGGGUUGUAAAGCACUUUCAGCGGGGAGGCGUUACCCGCAGAAGAAGCACCGGCUAACUCCGUGCCAGCCGCCGCGGUAAUAC
rnacentral:rRNA from 1 species